GUCCUAGCCGUAAACGAUGCAUACUUGGUGUAGCCGGACUCAACCCCGGCUGUGCCGUAGCUAACGCGAUAAGUAUGCCGCCUGGGGAGUACGCCCGCAAGGGUGAAACUCAAAAGAAUUGACGGGGACCCGCACAAGCAGUGGAGCAUGUGGUUUAAUUCGAUGCAACGCGAAGAACCUUACCCAGGCUUGACAUGCAGAGGACCGCACCAGAGAUGGUGCUUUCCUUCGGGACUUCUGCACAGGUGCUGCAUGGCUGUCGU
rnacentral:rRNA from 1 species